rnacentral:rRNA from 1 species
AGGAUGAACGCUGGCGGUCUGCUUAACACAUGCAAGUCGAACGGAGUAGAAAUACUUAGUGGCGGACGGGUGAGUAACGCGUGAGAAUCUGCCUUCAGGACGGAGACAACAGUUGGAAACGACUGCUAAGCCCCGAUGAACCGAAGGGAAAAUAUUUAUAGCCUGAAGAUGAGCUCGCGUCCGAUUAGCUAGUUGGCGGAGUAAAAGCCCACCAAGGCGACGAUCGGUAGCUGGUCUGAGAGGACGACCAGCCACACUGGGACUGAGACACGGCCCAGACUCCUACGGGAGGCAGCAGUGGGGAAUUUCCGCAAUGGGCGAAAGCCUGACGGAGCAAGACCGCGUGGGGGAAGAAGGCUCUUGGGUUGUAAACCCCUUUUUCUCUGGGAAGAAAGUUGUGAAAGCAACCUGACGGUACCAGAGGAAUCAGCAUCGGCUAACUCCGUGCCAGCAGCCGC